GACGAACGCUGGCGGCGUGCUUAACACAUGCAAGUCGAACGGAGUUACGUAUGAAGUAUUUCGGUACGGACUACAUAACUUAGUGGCGAACGGGUGAGUAACACGUGGGCAACCUGCCCUUAACCGGGGGAUAACAUUGUGAAAACAGUGCUAAUACCGCAUAACAGAGUAUCGGGCAUCCGAUAUUUUUAAAGGAGCAAUCCGGUUUAGGAUGGGCCCGCGUCCAAUUAGCUAGUUGGUGAGGUAACGGCUCACCAAGGCUACGAUUGGUAGCCGAACUGAGAGGUUGAUCGGCCACAUUGGGACUGAGACACGGCCCAGACUCCUACGGGAGGCAGCAGUGGGGAAUAUUGGGCAAUGGGCGAAAGCCUGACCCAGCGACGCCGCGUGAAGGAUGAAGGUCUUCGGAUUGUAAACUUCUUUGAUCAGGGAAGAAAGAAAUGACGGUACCUGAAGAACAAGCCACGGCUAACUACGUG
rnacentral:rRNA from 1 species